rnacentral:rRNA from 1 species
AACGAACGCUGGCGGCAGGCCUAACACAUGCAAGUCGAGCGCCCUGCAUGGGGAGCGCCAGACGGGUGAGUAACGUGGGGGAACGAACCCUUUGCUCCGGACUAGGUACGGGAAACUCGAAUUAAUAAAGUAUGUGACAUAACGGGGAGAGAUUUAUCGGCAAAGGAUCGGUCCGCGUUGGAUUAGCUAGUUGGUAGGGUAAUGGGCUACCUAGGCGACAAUCCAUAGCUGGUCUGUGAGGAUGAUCAGCCACAUGGGGCCUGGGACACGGCCCAAACUCCAACGGGAGGCAGCAGUGAGGAAUAUUGGACAAUGGGCGCAAGCCUGAUCCAGCCAUGCCGGGUGAGUGAUGAAGGCCUUAGGGUUGUAAAGCUCUUUCUCCGUAUAAGAUACUGACGGUAUCCGGAGAAGAAGCCCCGGCUAACUUCGUGCCAGCAGCCGCCGUAACAC